rnacentral:rRNA from 1 species
GGAAGGAUCAUUAACAAAAACAUGAAUCUCAAAUUCAUAAACCCCGGCUGUGUACCUGACUUUGUUGCUUCCGCAAGUAUGACGAUUGGAUCGUGAUUCCCUUCUGCCUUGAGGGGAGCUUGCGGGAGAAUUUUUCAUACAAUGCUAUUUGUUUACAGCUGUCUGAAGUGUUGCAUUUGCAAUCGAAUUAUCAAAACUUUCAACAACGGAUCUCUUGGUUCUCGCAUCGAUGAAGAGCGCAGCGAAAUGCGAUAACUAGUGUGAAUUGCAGAAUUCCGUGAAUCAUCGAGUUCUUGAACGCAUAUUGCGCUCCUUGGUAUUCCAGGGGGCAUGCCUGUUCGAGCGUCUGUAAACCCCCUCAGCUUUGGAUAGCUCCACUGCCUGGUGUUGAAAUCGGAGUGUACUGUUAUAUCUCCCUUUCGAAAUUAUCCGGCGCGAUUGACUGUCAAUCCUGUGUGAUAAGUUUUCAGCUUCACGGAUUGUUCUUUCACUUGCAGCCUAUAAUUUAUUUUGUUUGAUUUUAUGACCUCGGAUCAGGUAAGGAUACCCGCUGAACUUAAGCAUAUCAAUAAGCGGAGGAAAAGAAACCAACAGGGAUUGCCUUAGUAACUGCGAGUGAAGCGGCAUGAGCUCAAAUUUUAAAUCUGGCACUUUUGGUGUCCGAGUUGUAAUUUGGAGAGGUACCUUCGAGGUAGGCAUCACCUUAAGUUCCUUGGAACAGGACAUCACAGAGGGUGAGAAUCCCGUAUGUGGGUGGUUGCUGAAUCUCAUGUGAAGUACCUUCAACGAGUCGAGUUGUUUGGGAAUGCAGCUCAAAAUGGGUGGUAAAUGUCAUCUAAAGCUAAAUAAUGGCGAGAGACCGAUAGCGCACAAGUAGAGUGAUCGAAAGAUGAAAAGCACUUUGAAAAGAGAGUUAAAAAGUACGUGAAAUUGUUGAAAGGGAAGCGCUUGGAACCAGAAGCAGGUUUUGGUAAUCAUCAGCCCCUUUGGGACUGUGUACUUUCCACUACCUGAGGCAGCAUCGGUUCGAAUGAUGGGAUAAAGGUUUGAAGAAUGUGGCUUCCUUCGGGAAGUGUUAUAGCUUCAGGCGUAAUGCUGCCAUCAAUACGGACCGAGGACCGCGCAAUUGCAAGGAUGCUGUCCAAAUGGUUCUCAGCGACCCGUCUUGAAACACGGACCAAGGAGUCUAACAUCUAUGCGAGUGUUUGGGUGGAAAACCCUUGCGCGUAAUGAAAGUGAACGGAGAUGGGAACUCUUGCGGUGCACCAUCGA